CUCACAGCUUUUAUUUAAGUUUUCAUCAUUAGUUUGCUCUAGUAAAACUUUGGUGUCUGUGUCCAGACAGACACAUGGGCCAUUUUCUUCAAAAUCCUAGAAAGAUUCAGAUCUUUGAUUCCACUGCAAAAUGUAGCAUAACUUUCCAUACACAGGAGACUAAAAGCACGGCUUGUUCAGCUCUGGGAAUUGCUGCAAUGAAAAUUCUGGGGUAGCUGCUGUUCUGCAUAUUGCUAUCUCUUAUGCACCCAAGAUACAGACCUGUAAUAGGAACUGGCAUUAUUGCCAAAGCAAGAGCUUUAUUUCAUUGAUUACUAUUACUAUUUUAAAAAGCAAGAACUAGAUGCAUCUCCUCCCUUAAUUGAAUGCCCUUUUCCUCAACAGUUAUGAGCAAAAUGUAUGCUCUUUUCACCUAAUUCUUUUGUGAACAGAGCACUGUCAUGCUCUGUUGGGAUCUAGCAGCAGAAAAAUACAAAAAAACGGUCUUGCAGCUGAGAGCAUGGGUGUGGAUAAAUAAUCUGAUAAGUUUCCAAUGUUUCUUUUUGGGAGGGUGUCAUAAAAUCCUCUACAGAUUUAAAGUUCUUCUUGAAAGAAAUUCUGAAAUUCAUCUUCAGAUUUCAGUUUCUCCUUGGAGGAAUCCUGAAAGUCUACAUUUCAUUUUGAAGAAAUUUAGCUUCAGCUCUAACUGAGGGUCAUAUGGACCUACAGUAAAAAUAAAGAACCUUUUGGACCAUCGUGUUCUCAUAACUGGUUGGGGCUAAAAGCCUCAGGCUAGCGGAGAACCAUUUGAAAUAUAGAGCUCAGUGUUGCAGCCCCAGACAUCUUAUGAUCGAUCAGGAAAUUAAUUGCAGUUUUGAGCUAUUUAAAGGAGAGCCUAAAAUAAAACAUACUGACUCACAGCCGCACAGUGACAUUCUAAAAUAUAUCUUGAUCCCUUAGGAAUAUAUAUGCACAGCCUGUAAACCAAUACUUCCCAGUGUUGCUUUUGAAACUUUUUUGUAUUCUUUUGUGAUAGGCAAGGUAAAAAAUUUAAGCACA